CAAUAGCGUAUAUUAAAGUUGUUGCAGUUCAAAAGCUCGUAGUUGGAUUUCUGGUGGGAGCGAUCGGUCUGGCGCUUAGCGCGAGUACUUGCAUCGUCUCCGGCCAUCCUUGGGGAGAGUCUGUCUGGCAUUAGGUUGUCGGGCAGAGGAUCCUCAUCGUUUACUGUGAAAAAAUUAGAGUGUUCAAAGCAGGCUUAUGCCGUUGAAUAUAUUAGCAUGGAAUAAUAAGAUAGGACUUUGGUACUAUUUUGUUGGUUUGCGCACCAAAGUAAUGAUUAAUAGGGACAGUUGGGGGUAUUCGUAUUCCGUUGUCAGAGGUGAAAUUCUUGGAUUUACGGAAGACGAACUACUGCGAAAGCAUUUACCAAGGAUGUUUUCAUUAA
rnacentral:rRNA from 1 species